rnacentral:rRNA from 1 species
GAAUAUUGGUCAAUGGACGCAAGUCUGAACCAGCCAUGCCGCGUGCAGGAUGACGGUCCUAUGGAUUGUAAACUGCUUUUGUACAGGAAGAAACAGUUCUACGUGUAGAACCUUGACGGUACUGUAAGAAUACGUAUCGGCCAACUCCGUGCCAGCAGCCGCGGUAAUACGGAGGAUCCAAGCGUUAUCCGGAAUCAUUGGGUUUAAAGGGUCCGUAGGCGGCCUUAUAAGUCAGUGGUGAAAUCUCCCCGCUCAACGGGGAAACGGCCAUUGAUACUGUAGGGCUUGAAUUAUUAGGAAGUAACUAGAAUAUGUAGUGUAGCGGUGAAAUGCUUAGAGAUUACAUGGAAUACCAAUUGCGAAGGCAGGUUACUACUAAUAUAUUGACGCUGAUGGACGAAAGCGUGGGUAGCGAACAGG